GAAGGAAGGCCCUUCGGAGUCGACUUGUAGGAGCAGGCUCCAAACCGCCACAAGCUACUUUGGUAAAGAGACGAAGCCGUUGGUCUGGCGGGUCUGAGUUCACGCAACGAUACGCUGGAGGU
rfam:Burkholderia choica isolate LMG 22940 genome assembly, contig: contig000240